UACGUAGGGCGCAAGCGUUGUCCGGAAUUAUUGGGCGUAAAGAGCUCGUAGGCGGCCAGUUGCGUCCGCUGUGAAAUCCCAGGGCUUAACCCUGGGCGUGCAGUGGAUACGGGCUGGCUGGAGGCAGGCAGGGGAGAACGGGAAUUCCCGGUGUAGCGGUGAAAUGCGCAGAUAUCGGGAGGAACACCGGUGGCGAAGGCGGUUCUCUGGGCCUGUACUGACGCUGAGGAGCGAAAGCGUGGGGAGCGAACAGG
rnacentral:rRNA from 1 species